rnacentral:rRNA from 1 species
AUGAUUGCAAAUGGUAAACAUAGAAAAAAGAAAAUCAUCCAGCUGGAACAGGAUGAAGGAACCGUUGUGGGGCAUGAGAACCUCAAGUCAUAUAUUUCGAAUUAUUAUAAACAACUAUUCGGGCCGCCAGUGGAUAAUGCGGUGUCCCUGGGUGAGUUUGUUGUUGGGGAUAUUCCUCAGCUCCGGUCAGAUGAAAACGAGAUUUUGUUUGCAUCGUUUACUGAGAAAAAGGUUUUCGAUGCAAUAUCACAAAUGAAGCAGAAUAAAGCACCGGGUCCAGAUGGGGUCCCUGCGGAAUUCUAUAAGAAAUGUUGGCAUAUUAUAAAAAGAUGA